rnacentral:pre_miRNA from 1 species
AACCUACUCCCUCCGUUCCGAAUUACUUGUCGCACGUGUUCCGAAUUACUUGUCGCACGUAUGGAUGUAUCUAGAUGUAUUUUAGUUCUAGAUACAUCCAUUUCAGCGACGAGUAAUUUGGAACUGAGGGAGUAGCUA